rnacentral:tRNA from 1 species
GCAUCGAGUGGCCGAAGAAGGAAGACGGCAAGCCCAGCUUCAAGCUGGAAGACCUGGCGCGCGCCAACGGCCUGCUGCACGAGUCGGCGCACGAUGCGC